UACGUAGGGUGCAAGCGUUGUCCGGAAUUAUUGGGCGUAAAGAGCUCGUAGGCGGUUUGUCGCGUCUGCUGUGAAAUCCCCAGGGCUUAACCCUGGGCCUGCAGUGGGUACGGGCAAACUAGAGUGCGGUAGGGGAGAUCGGAAUUCCUGGUGUAGCGGUGAAAUGCGCAGAUAUCGGAAGGACACCAGUGGCGAAAGCGGCUUCCUGGUCCAGCACCGACGUCAGGCACGAAAGCGUGGGGAGCGACAGG
rnacentral:rRNA from 1 species